UGGGGAAUAUUGCACAAUGGAGGGAACUCUGAUGCAGCGACGCCGCGUGAACGAAGAAGGCUUUCGAGUCGUAAAGUUCUUUUAUAUGGGAAGAUAAUGACGGUACCAUAAGAAAAAGCCCCGGCUAACUACGUGCCAGCAGCCGCGGUAAUACGUAGGGGGCUAGCGUUGUCCGGAAUCACUGGGCGUAAAGGGUUCGCAGGCGGAAAUGCAAGUCAGGUGUAAAAGGCAGUAGCUUAACUACUGUAAGCAUUUGAAACUGCAUAUCUUGAGAGAAGUAGAGGUAAGUGGAAUUUUUAGUGUAGCGGUGACAUACGUAGAUAUUAAAAAGAAUACCGGUGGCGAAGGCGGCUUUCUGGCCAUAAUCUGACGCUGAGGUACGAAAGCGUGGGUAGCAAACAGG
rnacentral:rRNA from 1 species